rnacentral:rRNA from 1 species
UACGGGGGGAGCAAGCGUUAUUCGGAUUUACUGGGCGUAAAGGGCGCGUAGGCGGCCAGCGCAAGUCAGUUGUGAAAUCUCCGGGCUUAACUCGGAACGGUCAACUGAUACUGCGCGGCUAGAGUGCGGAAGGGGCAACUGGAAUUCUCGGUGUAGCGGUGAAAUGCGUAGAUAUCGGGAGGAACACCUGAGGCGAAGGCGGGCUACUGGGCCGAUACUGACGCUGAUGCGCGAAAGCCAGGGGAGCAAACGGG